rnacentral:rRNA from 1 species
CGGCGUGCCUAAUACAUGCAAGUCGAACGCACUCUCGUUUAGAUUGAAGGAGCUUGCUCCUGAUUGAUAAACAUUUGAGUGAGUGGCGGACGGGUGAGUAACACGUGGGUAACCUGCCCUAAGUGGGGGAUAACAUUUGGAAACAGAUGCUAAUACCGCAUAAAACCUAACACCGCAUGGUGUAGGGUUGAAAGAUGGUUUCGGCUAUCACUUUAGGAUGGACCCGCGGUGCAUUAGUUAGUUGGUGAGGUAAAGGCUCACCAAGACCGUGAUGCAUAGCCGACCUGAGAGGGUAAUCGGCCACACUGGGACUGAGACACGGCCCAGACUCCUACGGGAGGCAGCAGUAGGGAAUCUUCCACAAUGGACGAAAGUCUGAUGGAGCAACGCCGCGUGAGUGAAGAAGGUUUUCGGAUCGUAAAACUCUGUUGUUGGAGAAGAAUGUAUCUGAUAGUAACUGAUCAGGUAGUGACGGUAUCCAACCAGAAAGCCACGGCUAACUACGUG